UCGAGAAUCUUCCGCAAUGGGCGCAAGCCUGACGGAGCGAUGCCGCGUGAGGGAUGACGGCCUUCGGGUUGUAAACCUCUGUCAUCCGGGACGAAAACAAUGACGGUACCGGAAAAGGAAGCCACGGCUAACCACGUGCCAGCAGCCGCGGUAACACGUGGGUGGCGAGCGUUAUUCGGAUUUACUGGGCGUAAAGGGUCCGCAGGGGGCCUGCCACGCCUGCCGUGAAAUUCCAAGGCUCAACCUUGGACCUGCGGCGGGUACGGGCGGGCUAGAGUGCAAGAAGGGCAGACGGAAUUCCAGGUGUAGCGGUGGAAUGCGUAGAUAUCUGGAAGAACACCGAUGGCGAAGGCGGUCUGCUGGCUUGUAACUGACCCUCAGGGACGAGAGCGUGGGUAGCAAACA
rnacentral:rRNA from 1 species